rnacentral:misc_RNA from 1 species
UACGAGGGCCCCGAGCGUUAUCCGGAAUCACUGGGCGUAAAGGGUGUGUAGGCGGUUUGAUUAGUCUCCUGUGAAAUCCUCCGGCUCUACCGGAGACCCGCAGGAGAAACGGUCAAACUAGAGAGCGCAAGAGGUGCACGGAACUCAUGGUGUAGGGGUGAAAUCCGUUGAUAUCAUGAGGAACACCAAAAGCGAAGGCAGUGCACUGGUGCGCUUCUGACGCUGAGACACGAAAGCCAGGGUAGCGAAUGGG